rnacentral:rRNA from 1 species
AUUGAACGCUGGCGGCAGGCCUAACACAUGCAAGUCGAACGGUAACAGGAAGAAGCUUGCUUCUUUGCUGACGAGUGGCGGACGGGUGAGUAAUGUCUGGGAAACUGCCUGAUGGAGGGGGAUAACUACUGGAAACGGUAGCUAAUACCGCAUAACGUCGCAAGACCAAAGAGGGGGACCUUCGGGCCUCUUGCCAUCGGAUGUGCCCAGAUGGGAUUAGCUAGUAGGUGGGGUAACGGCUCACCUAGGCGACGAUCCCUAGCUGGUCUGAGAGGAUGACCAGCCACACUAGAACUAGGACAAGGACCAGACUCCUACGGGAGGCAGCAGUGAGGAAUAGUACACAAUGGGCGCAAGCCUGAUGCAGCCGUGCCACGUGUAUGAAGAAGACUUUCGGGUUGUAAAGUACUUUCAGCGGGGAGAAAGGAAGUAAAGUUAAUACCAUUACUCAUUGACGUUACCCGCAGGAGAAGCACAGGCUAACUCCGUG